UCAUAGCUGUAACCAAUGAGUAUCCAGUAAUAUUGUUAGUUUUCCAUUUUAAUUAAUGUAUAUAAUCAAUAUUAUAAUGUUAACACAGAAUACUCCGCCUGGGGAUUGUGCUCGCAAGAGUUAAACUCAAAGGAAUUGACGGGGACUCACACAAGCAAUGGAGCAUGUGAUUUGAAUUCGAUGCAAAACGCGAAUCUUACCAGAACUUAAGUGAUCGUAUUAUUUUAAUUAAGAAAUAUUUGAUGACACUGCCAGGUGGUGCAUGGCUGACGAAAGUUCGUAUUGUGAAAUGUCUGGUUAAAUCCAAUAACGAACGCAACCCUGUUAGUUUUUAAUAGAUAAUUAAAUUUUAUAGGAUUAAGUCAAGUCUUUAUGCUCUCUAUCUUCUGGGCUACAUACAUGCUACAACGCAUAUUACAAUAAAUUUUUAAUUCUAAAAAUAUGAGAAAUGUUCGAAUUAUAGAUUGAAACUCAUCUAUAUGAAGAUGGAAUUGCUAGUAAUCGUUAAUUAGUAUGUAACGGUGAAUAUGUUCUUGAGUCUUGUACACACCGCCCGUCACACUCUGGGAGUUAAUCGUUUUUAGAGCUUUUCAAAAAUUUGUGAGAAAACGGGUACUGACUGGAGUGAAGUCGUAACAAGGUAACC
rnacentral:rRNA from 1 species